GUUAGUUCUGCAGACUUACCCUCCCACAACGACUUAGCUGAUUAAACAUUUAAAAUACAGCAACAUCUCUAAGAUAUGUUACGUUGGCAAAAUCCUCAAUAUAUUCUUUACAACUGAUUGAUAGAAGGAAAUGAAGAACUGAGUUAAUGAACAGCCCACGUACCAGUUCAUAUCUUAGAAUAUAAUAUACAAAAUGUAUACUCAUCAUGAAAGCCACUGAAGAAGACUAACUGUCAAAACGCAUCUGGCUAUGGUAUACAUUGUGCAUUCUAUGGACAUUGAUUUAUGCACAUUGGCCACUGUUUACAAGUUGCCCUGGAUUUCCACACUGAUAUUGCCUUCAUUAUAUUAUAUAUUCUGUAUUUUAUUGUGUUUGGGCACUGAUCUGUUCACAUAUACUUUGGCCAUGUUUUAAUACUAUAUGAGAACACUUGUAAGGAUUUUAUACUGAUUGUUUAUAUAUAUUACAUUUUGAUAUUAUUUUAUAAUAAUGCAUUUUAUGUUGUGUAUAGAACAAGUCAGAAAGUAGUGAUCUGAUCAUGAAAGUGGCAAUGUUUUGAAAAAACAAAAUCAGAUCUGUAAAAAACAAUAAAUCCAAUGUCUGUUCCACAA